UAGAAAUUAUUUAUUAAUUUUUGUAUGAAAAAAUAAUUUUAAUUUAAGUAUUUUUUAUAGAAAAAAUAAGUAUUAUUAUAGUAAAUAGUAUUGAAAAAGAAAAUUGAAAUAAGUGAAAAUUUAUUAAUUAAUAAGAAGAUUUUAUUUAUUGUACCUUUUGUAUCAGGGAUUAUUAAAUAAUUUAUAAUUAUUUUAUUAGUUUCGAAAUAAAAAGAUUUAAUUUAAUAUAAUUGUUAGUGUUGUAAAAUUAAAUUAAAUAUUAAAUUAGAAUUAAGAAAUUAAUCGGUUUUUAUUAUAUCUAGUUUUUUAAGAAAUAAAUUGAAUUUAGUUAAUAAGUUUUAUUUAAUUAUUUUUGAAUUAAGUAGGAAUUUAUUAAUAAUAUAUUAAGGGAUAAGCUUUUAUAUAGUUAUUAUAAAAAAUAAAUAAAGAUUAAUUGUAUAUUCUUAGAAAUAGAAAUUAUAUAGUAGUAUGUUAUAAUUUAGUAAUUAGUGUUUAUAAUAUUUAUUUUUUUUUAAUUUUUUUAUUAAAAUAUUUAAUUUAAUUAUGUUUUUAAAUUAAUAAUGAUAAUAUUAGUAUAUAUGAAUUUUGUAAGAAUAUGUAAUGGGUUAAAAUAGAUUUAAGGAACUCGGCAAAUUUAGUAUUCGCCUGUUUAUUAAAAACAUGGCUUUUAGAAAUUAAUUUAAGGUUUAAUCUGCCCACUGAUAAAUUAAAGGGCCGCAGUAUAUUAACUGUGCAAAGGUAGCAUAAUCAUUAGUUUUUUAAUUGAAAGCUAGAAUGAAUGAUUGGACGAAAUAUUUUCUGUCUUAGGUUUAUUGAAAUAGAAUUUUAUUUUUUAGUUAAAAAGUUAAAAUAAGAUAAAAAGACGAGAAGACCCUAUAGAUCUUUAUAUAAUAAUAGUUUAAUAAAAAUUAGUUAAAUUUUAUUUUAAGUUAUUAAUAUAUUAUAUUGGGGUAAUAAUAAAAUUUAAAUAAUUUUUGUUUAAUUUAACAAUUAUAGUUGAUUAAUUGAUCCAGUAUUAUUGAUUAUAAAGUUAAGUUACCUUAGGGAUAACAGCAUAAUGAUUUUUGAGAGUUCGUAUUGAUAAAAUAGAUUGUGACCUCGAUGUUGAAUUAAAAUUUAUUUUGGAUGCAGGUGUUUAAUAAAUAAGGUCUGUUCGACCUUUAAUAUUUUACAUGAUUUGAGUUUAGACCGGUGUGAGCCAGGUCAGUUUCUAUCUUUUAUUAUUGUAUAUAUUUUAGUACGAAAGGAUUAAAUAUAUAAUAAAUUUUAUUAAUAGUAUUGGAAUAAUUAUAAUAGGAUUU
rnacentral:rRNA from 1 species